rnacentral:piRNA from 1 species
UGGUACAUGGAAUGCUGCUUAACCUUUG